rnacentral:rRNA from 1 species
UGCCAGCAGCCGCGGUAAUACGGAGGGUCCAAGCGUUAUCCGGAUUCAUUGGGUUUAAAGGGUGCGUAGGCGGAAUAAUAAGUCAGUGGUGAAAGCCUGCAGCUUAACUGUAGAACUGCCAUUGAAACUGUUAUUCUUGAAUUUAGUUGAAGUAGGCGGAAUGCGGCAUGUAGCGGUGAAAUGCUUAGAUAUGCCGCAGAACACCGAUCGCGAAGGCAGCUUACUAAGCUAAUAUUGACGCUAAGGCACGAAAGCGUGGGGAGCGAACAGGAUUAGAUA